rnacentral:rRNA from 1 species
GAUGAACGCUGGCGGCGUGCCUAAUACAUGCAAGUCGAGCGAACAGACGAGGAGCUUGCUCCUCUGACGUUAGCGGCGGACGGGUGAGUAACACGUGGAUAACCUACCUAUAAGACUGGGAUAACUUCGGGAAACCGGAGCUAAUACCGGAUAAUAUAUUGAACCGCAUGGUUCAAUAGUGAAAGACGGUUUUGCUGUCACUUAUAGAUGGAUCCGCGCCGCAUUAGCUAGUUGGUAAGGUAACGGCUUACCAAGGCGACGAUGCGUAGCCGACCUGAGAGGGUGAUCGGCCACACUGGAACUGAGACACGGUCCAGACUCCUACGGGAGGCAGCAGUAGGGAAUCUUCCGCAAUGGGCGAAAGCCUGACGGAGCAACGCCGCGUGAGUGAUGAAGGUCUUCGGAUCGUAAAACUCUGUUAUUAGGGAAGAACAAAUGUGUAAGUAACUAUGCACGUCUGACGGUACCUAAUCAGAAAGCCACGGCUAACUACGUG